GACGAACGCUGGCGGCGUGCUUAACACAUGCAAGUCGAACGGAAAGGCCCUGCUUUUGUGGGGUGCUCGAGUGGCGAACGGGGGCGUAACACGUGAGUAACCUAACCUUGACUUUGGGAUAACUUCAGGAAACUGGGGUUAAUACCGUAUAGCAGCUCCUCCUCCAUGGUGGGGGUUGGAAAGUUUCGGCGGUUGGGGCUGGACGGGCGGCUUAUGAGCUUGUUGGUGGGGUAGUGGCUUACCAAGGCUUUGACGGGUAGCCGGCCUGAGAGGGUGACCGGCGACAUUGGGACUGCGAUACGGCCCAGACUGCUACGGGAGGCAGCAGUGGGGAAUAUUGCACAAUGGGAGGAAGCCUGAUGCAGCAGCGCCGCGUGCGGGAUGACGGCCUUCGGGUUGAAAACCGCUGUCGCCUGUGACGAAGCGUGUGUGACGGUAAUGGGUAAAGAAGCACCGGCUAACUACGUG
rnacentral:rRNA from 1 species